UUAAGUGGAAUAAGAUAGAGAAAGAAAAAUCAUAUGAUUACACUUAUCAUUUAAAAAUUUAAAUGGAAUUUAAAAAAAAACAAAUAGACAAAACAAAAGAACAGAAAUAGAACCAUAAAUACGGAGAACAACCUGGUGAUUACCAGAGGAGAGCCACCUCCUCUGGAAAAUGGGUGACGGGGAGUAGGAGGUAUAGGCUUCUAGUUAUGGAGUGAGUAAGUCACGGGGAUGAAAGAUACCACAUAGGGAAUGUAGUCAAUGGUAUUGCAAAAGCAUUGUAUGAGGACAGUUAGUAGCUACGCUUGUGCUGAGCAUGGCAUAAUGUAUGAAGCUGUCAAAUCUUCAUACUGUAUACCUGAAACUAAUGUAACAUUGUGUGUCAGCUAUACUUCAAUUUUUUAAAAAAUUGCAUUAAAAAAUAUAUGUAUGGGCAACUUGCAAGCAAAGCCCAUCAACUCUUACACCAGUUUGUGACUAGUCUGGAGGGAGAUCCCCCAGAAGAGAGCAGAAAUUCUGUCUUUUCUGAGAGUAGGUCAACAAACAAUUGAGUAGUUUUAAUUAUACAGAUAGAAUAACAGGACAUUAGAUGCAGAAUAUUAAAAUCUGCAUCAUCCAAGGAAGUUGAUUUUUUUUUUUUGGUCUAUUUGAGAAAGAGAGAAAGAGCAGUGGGAAGGGCAGAAGAAAAGGGGAAGCAGGCUCCCCAUGAUCAGGGAGCCCGACUUGGAGCCCAGGACCCCAAGAUCAUAACUGAGCUGAAGUCAGACGCUUAACUGACUGAGCCACCCAGGUGCCCCUAAGGAAGAUGAUUUUAAACAUAGGUAGACAUAUAGAGGACUAUCACCAGCCAACAGUAAAGUGCACUAGAGUUCAUGUAAGAAGGAAUUCAAAGAAGAAAGACCCAACAAGCAAUAUUACAAACUACAAACUUGAACAGCUUUUCAAGUCAGCCACUGAGUGGAGCCAACCCCAGGAGUUUGGUUUCUGCUGGUCUCGUGCUGUCCUGACAGAUCCUGGAAGCAACAGUUCCACAUUGGCCUUAUAAAGAAGAAGGACUGCGAUCCAGCAAUCCCAAGAAUGUAUUCUCACUAUUCACAACAGCCAUAAAAAUGGAAACAACCCCGUGCUCAUCAGCUGAUGAAUGGAUAAAUAGAAUAUAAUAUAUCCAUACAAUGGACUAUAUGCAGCCAUAAAAAGUAAUGACGUACUGAUGCGUGCCAGGCACAAAAGGAUAUAUAUUGUGUGAUUUCAUUUUUAUGAAAUAGCUGGAAUAGGCAAAUCCAUAGAGACAGAAAAUAGAGAAGUAGUUGCCAGGAGCUGGGAAGGUUUGGGAGGUUGGGGAGAUGACAACUCAUAGGUACAGCUUCUUUUGUGGAUCAUGAAAAUUGAUUAUAAUGAUGAGUGUACAACUGCCACUCAGGUGCCCCAAAUAUUGACUUAGUUUUAAAAAUAUUAAAUAGAAUUACCAAAUGAGGGGUACCUGGGUGGCUCAGUGGUUGAGCAUCUGUCUGCCUCUGACUCCGGUCGUGAUCCCAGGGGUCCUGGGAUCGAGUUCUGCAUCUCCCUCUGCCUGUGUCUCUGCCUCUCUUUCUGUGUCUCUCAUGAAUAAAUAAAUAAAAUUGUUUAAAAAAGAAAAAGAAUUACCAAAUGACCUAGCAAUUCUACUUCUGACAUUAUUUGUAAUCAUCAAGAAGUGGAAGCAACCCAAGUAUCCGUCAGCAGAUACAUGGAUAAACAAAAUGGUCUGUGCAUACAGUGGAGUAUUUUCAACCUUAAGAAGGAAGGAGCUUCUGACACGUGCUACAAAGGGAUGAACUUUGAAGACAGUAUGCCCAGUGAUGUAACCCAGGCCAAAAAGGACAAACAUUGUGUGAUUCCACUUACAGGAGGGAGGUCCUUACGGAAAGUAGCAUGGUUGCCAGGGUAAGGGAGGAAUGAAAAGUUACAGUUUAAUGGGUACAGAGUUUCAGUUUGGGAAGGUGAAAAAGUUAAGAUGAAUGAUGGCCAUGUUUUUACAGCAUUGUGAAUGUGCUUAAUGCCACUAAAGCAUACACUUCAAAAUAGAGCAGCAAAUUUAUGUUAUAUGUAUUUUACCACAAUAAAAAACAGUAUUGGGUGUAUUUCAAAUUUUAGAGCAGGAAAGCUUUUUUUGAGUGGGUUCAACUGGAAUAUUUAAAAGUCCUUAUUUGUGAAGGAGACAAGGCCUGAGACAUCCAGAGUGAACCCCACCAAAGGAGCUAAUAAAAGGCACACUUGGGCAGCCCAGAGGCUCAGCGGUUUAGCAACGCCUUCGGCCCAGGGCGUGAUCCUGGAGCCCUGGUAUCGAGUCCCAUGUCGGGCUCCCUGCAGGGAGCCUGCUUCUCCCUCUGCCUGUGUCUCUCCCCGCCCCCCUCCUCUCUCUCUGUGUCUCUCAUGAAUGGAUUAAAAAAAAAAAUCUUAAAAAAAAAAAGGCACACCUGGAGGGAAUCCACACUCCAGUCACAGUCCCAAGCCAUGUAGUUAGCUGGAAAGAAGAAUAAGUAGGGAUGAGGUACGCUUGAUUACGUUCUUUCCUGUAUAUUAGUUUGCAAUGGCUGGGAUUUUGUUUCUUAACCACUCUACUCUCCCCCAGCUUUAAUAAGGUUUGCUGGACAAAUAAAAAAUGUGUGUAUUAAAGUGUAUAACAUGAUAUUUUGAUAGACAUAUAAAUUGGGACAUGAUUACCCCAAACUCAUUAAAAUGUCCAGCAUUGUACAUAGCUACCCUUCCAUGUGCAUGUGGUGAGAACACUUGGGAUCUACUCUCUUUAGCGAGUUUUAUUAUUAAUAACCGUGGUCACCAUACUGUACAUUAGGUAUCCAGGAUGUAAACUUACUUAGAACUCAAAGUUUGUACCCUUUGAUCAAACCUCCCUCCCCCAUUUCCUCCACCCUCCCCCCCCAGCCUUUGGUAACUACCAUUCUCUCUGUUACUAUGAAUGUGACUUUUAUUAGUAGGAUCAUUGCCAGUAUUUGUCUUUGUCCAGCUUGUUUCAUUUAAUAUUAGGUCUUCCAAGUUCAUCUAUAUUUUUGCAAAUGGUAGGAUUUCCUUCUUUUUAUGGCUGAAUAAUACUCCACUGUGUGUGUGUGUGUGUGUGUGUGUGUGUGUGUGUGUGUGUGUGUGUGUUUGUGUGUGUAUUCAUUUAUAUAGACAUUUUCUUUAUCCCUUCACCUGUUUGGGACACGUGGGUUGUUUCCAUUUCGUGGCUUAGAACAAUACGUCAAUGAACCUAGGAGGACAGAUACCUCUUUGGGACACUGAUUUUAUUUCCUUGGCUAUUGACCCAAAAGCAGGAUUGCUGGAUCAUGUGGUAGUUCUAUUUUUAGUAUUUUGAGGAAGCUGCACACUGUUAUUCCAUAAUGGCUAUAUGAACUUGUUUUUUAAAUUUUACUAUGGAAAAACAUGGAUAAAUACAAAAGUAUAUAGAAUAGCAUAAUGAUCUCCAUGUACUGAUCACCUUUAAUCAUUUUAUACUCAUGGCCAAUGGUAUUUUAUCUGUAUGUGAACCCAUGCCCUCCCAUAUUAUCUAGAGAAAAAUUUGUAUUUCAUACAAAACUAUUUUGGUACAAAUCUGAGAAGUUUUUUUUAACAUAAACUAUAAUGCCAUUAUCAUUCCUAACAAAUUAAUAAUAAUUCCUAAGUAUCAUAAAAUAUACAGCAUCUAAAUUUUGAACUGUCUCAUAAUCUUUUAAACUGCAUGUUUCAAUUAAGAUCCAAAUCAGCUUCUGGAUUUCCUUAAAGGUAGAAGUCUUGCCUGAAUCCUUUUUUUUUUUUUUUCCUCACUCUUGUUUUUCCUUAUAAUUCAUUUGCUGACAAAGUUAAGUUCUUAUGUCUGGAUUUUGCUGAUUUCAUCUGUUUUGUCACUUACUUGUAUAAAAAAUGGUAGUUGAAUCUUAACCGUUAGGUUCUUAACUUUGGCUAGACGUUAGACUCACCUAGAGAGCUUUUAAAAAAAAAAACCCUGACAUGUGUGGAAAUAGUUUGGCAGUUCCUAAAUAAAAGCAUAAAGCUAUCAUGUGACCCAGCAAAAUUAUUGAAACAGGUGUUCAAAGAAAAACUUUUACGCAAAUGUAGCAGUAUUCCUCACAAUAGCCAGAAGGUGGAAACAACCCAACUGUCCUUCAGCUGAGGCAUGGAUAAACAAAAUAUGGUAUACCCAUACAAUAGAGCCCAUUCCAUUAAUGGAAAAUUAAUAAAAUACUGUUACAUGCUUCAAUCCAGAUAAGCCUUGAAAACAUGUUAAGUGGAAGAAGUCUGACACAGAGGCCAUAUAUCUUAUGGUUCCAGGUAUAUGAACUGUCCAGACUGGGGAAAUCCAGAGACAUCAAGUAGGUUAGUGGUGGCCAGGGGCUGAGGGGAGGGGAAAGGUGAGUGACUACUUAACGCGUAUGGGGCUCGAUAGCAGUCAUGGGUAUACCACAGUGUCAAUGUCGUUAACAUACACUUUAAAGUGGCUUAAAUAGUAAGUUUUAUGUUAUGUAUUUGACCACAAGUUUUAAAACUCCUGAUGUGAAAGCCACACCGAGGCUAAGUAAACCAUAAUCUCUUAAGUGUGACCCAAACAUCAGAAUAUUCUAAUGCUCUCCAAGGGAUGCCGGUGUACUGCCAAGACUUGGAAUUCUUGGUGGAGGCUGGAUUUCAAGCCUUCUUCGUAGGUGGUAGUGGAGGUGUGAUAUAUUUAAGUUUGUGCCAGUCUGUUCACUUGUUCUUGGGAAUAGCUAUGUCUUUUCUGCUUAGAGUCAGCAGAUGCUGUCAGAAAUCGCUGCUUCAAGUCACGCAAAAUGUUGUCUCUUUUUUUAGAAAAUAAAUUUUGGAAAACUGGAGAAGGAAAAGAUCAUCUUGCAUUGACCUGAGUGGGGUUUUUUAAAACUUGUGUUAGUUGGCAUACAGUGUUCCAUUAGUUUCGGGUGUACAAAAUAGUGACUCAACCUUGUUUUUUUAAUAGGAGAGAAAAAGGCCCUCCAUUCUUUUCUAACUGCCCCUGAGCUUUGGAAGGCAGCCAGUGUGGCCCAUGGGGUGGGGGCACCGUGCAAGGGGCCCCACAGCCUCCCAGCACACACCCUGCCAAAGCGGGUGCUCUCCUGGCUACUCCUUGAGAAGACCUACGGGCAAGAGGCCAAAUAACCCCCACUGGUGCUCGGGGAGGGCAGUGAACUUUCUCUUGUCAUCUUUCUCAACCAGGGACGGCUCAGGAGGUCAUCGGCCCUGUCGAAUCUCAGCAGAGCUUGCUUCCCGACCUCAGGAAGGAAACUGCCAUUUCCUUAGCCUCCCAUGAGCCCGUAUCAGGCCACGGCUGUUGCCAGCUCUGUGGCUUUGGCAGAGUUACAAAUAGGCUAAAUGUAGACCGGGAGUCCUAGUUCUCCUCUGCUUCAGCCAGCUUCCUUUUCUGGCAAAAUCUGAAUAAACCCAAAAACACUGGGCAAGCAGCUUGUUGCUCCCCAUGCAGCUUCACAAAGUUAAAUCCUUUAAGAGAUCCAAGAGAUGGAUGGCUUGUAACAUCCUUUGCUCUGCAUCACUCCAUGAACAUCCUAAACUCCCAUUCCUGAAAGUGAGGCUGAGAGGCAUCCCUGGAGGAGAACGAGACAUUAAAAUGUCCUCUGGUCAGAAGGACUCUUCUCUUUGAAUAACAUGGGGUUUCCAUUUAAAAUAUUAAUUAGAAAGAAUAGAAGACACUUAUUCCAAGGACGUGUGCUGUCCAAGGUCAUUUAGAUUUGGUUCUGAACCCAAUUCCCCUCACCAGCAACAUUUCUAGAUUCAUCUCCAACCCAGAAGCAGACCCUGCUUCUUCCUUUCCAUGCCCUGACCCUUGAUAUGCUUGUUCAGCUCUAAUAAAGUAUAAAGCUUGGUUGUGAAUAUUAAAAAAAAAAAAAAAAAAA
rnacentral:lncRNA from 1 species